rnacentral:lncRNA from 10 species
UCGGGGGAGGGUAUAAGGGAGCCCAGGGACACUGGGGCACCAGCUCGUUAACACGUGUGUAUGAAUGCCGGCUGUGCGCUUGGCAAAUCCUUAAUUACACAGGGAGAACUUCCUGAACCGGGAACUCAGUAUCGGUCCCUGAAAGGUUGGGUAAUGGCUUCUUCUUGCAUCUGGAAUCCAAGGGGACCAAUCUCUCUGGCUCCCCUGGGCUCUCAGAUUCUUCUAGAUGUCUUUGUCUUCUAAAAUUCUGGGAUCCCAAGGGAAGACACAUAGUUAAGGACACUCAGAAAUGCAUACCUUUCAACCCUACUAAUCAUCCUAAAACCUGUGCUUUCAACAUAUCACGUCCUUGAUCUGUAACCCUCAGGGGCACCCACGAUCUCCAAUGACUGGGAGUGAUGGCAUUUAAGUCUUUCCACCAUGCAGAAGUUUCUUCCCUCAUUCCCCAUGAAUUCUCUCCUGUAGCCAGCCUGGCCCCUCAUAACCCCUUGGAUAUACUGUAUCUUGAAUUCUCCAGCCUUUCUGCAGUUGCCUUCCUGGGACAUUCAUUCCCAUGUUCACAAUCUAGCCAAUUGUAUCCCUUCUCUAUUCAGUUCUAGCAUCAGUCAGUCAAUCAACAAGCAUUUAUUGAAAGUCCACUAUGUACAAGACAUGUUCUAGGCCCUGGUAAUACAUCAGAGACUGAGACAAAUACCUGUUCUUAAGGAUUUUAUAUUUUAAUGGGAGAAACAGAGUAGACUCAUGGCUCACGCCUAUAAUCCCAGGACUUUGGGAGGCCAAGGCAAGAGGAUCACUUGAGGCCAGGAGCUCAAAACCAGCCUGGGCAGCAAGUGUCUUCUUUUGCCUCUGCAAAAGAAAAUUAAAAAUAACAAAAAAAGGAAGCUAAACUAGAGUAUUGUGGUAGAGGGGUGUGUGUGUGUGCAUGUGGGUGCAUCCGUGUGUGUGGUAGGUUGAUGGGUGCUGUUUUAUUUAGCCAGGGAAGGUCUCUUUGAGGAGGUGGCAUUCGAGACCUUCUGGGUGGGAAGGAGGCAGCCAUGUGGUGAUCUGGGGAAGAGUGCUGCAAGCAGAAAGGCAAGUAAAAACAAAAGCCCUGAGGCAGAAAUGUGCUCCUUAUGCUUAAGAAACACCGUGAAGGCCAACGUGGUUGGAGCAAUGUGAGCAAGAAGAAUAGAGGGGCCUUGGGAACAUAGGUAGCUGAGUCCUCAUGGAUCAAGGCACCUUGACUUUAAGUGUCUGUUACACCAAAGGUUAUGGCAAACUGUGUCUGCAGCCCACAGUAAAAUCCAGUUUAAGGCUCUCCACACUGGAGUGCAGCUAUCCAGGUAGGUAGUGCCACCAGCCUAAGGUCACACCUUCUUCCUUGGCGUGAGGUUGCCCUACGUUGGCACUUAUCAUGGUCACUGCUUUGGUGACUGUCAUUCUGCCCAGGGCUUUAAGUGACCACCUUCCACAGACUCCCCCAUUUCAUACUACAGAGAAAGCAUCUUGUGUCUUACCUUCCCUCCCUUAGUGUGCUAGGACUGCCUGGUGAGUGGCACUAAAGGAUCAUCCCUUGGUUCCUGAUAUCUAGGAACCCACAUAUGCUUAAAAACAGCAAGAUAACUCCCCAGAUUGAAUCUCUGCAGGCUGAAAAGUUGGAUGGAUUCCAACUAGAGCACCAUUUCCCUAAUCCCACACACUUUUAAGGGACUAGAGACUGAGGAAUGUUCAGGGAUUAUCACAGAAUAUUCUGGUCCUUUUGUUGGAGCCUGAAAGCUCUUUAGAGCAAUUGAGUACACAGAAAUUCAGCCAGAAUGGGAGCACAAGCAGAAGCAGACCAAGCUAUUUCUCCCCUGAACACACACUCUGCACACUGACAGGUACAAAUAUAGCUAAAAGAAAUGACGAUUACAUAAGUUCCUAGCCAGUGUCCAGCACAUAGUAAGUCUAUCAGUUAGCUCUUCCUGUUUAACAAAUCUUCCCUAAACUUAGUGGCUCAAAACAACCACCCUUUAGCUUACGAUUCUGCAGUCUGGCAUAUUUCUGCCAGCUUGCCCAUGCUCAGAGGCCAGCUGCCUGGUGGGCUAGGGCCUGGCUGGACUAGGACAGCCUCAGCUGGGGCAGCUUCUCUGUGUUUCUCAUUCUCCAGCAGGCUAGCUUGGGCUUGUUCACACAAGUUUCCAGAGAGAGAAGUAGGCAAGAGCUUCAGAACCGUACAAACAAGGUCCGCUGCAUUCUACUGGCCACAGUGAGUCCCUAGGGCAGCCCCAGUCGAAGGAGCAGAGAGGUAGUCUGUUCCUCUUGAUGGAAGAGAGGCACAGAGUCAUUUAGCUUAGGGGUAAACAUAUAGACGCAGUGAAGGAUUGUGGCCACUUUUACAAUCUACCACUGUAGCUACCAAUAAGUUCUGUGUUUACAGUUUUUCAGCCAUUUCCAAAAGGAAUUAUAUUGAUGUGUUAGUUGACAAGCCUACAAUGAAAAGAUAGAUGGGAAAAGAAGACCAUCAGACAGGUGGCUGGAUAUGUGGAGACAAGCACGAAGAAGUCCAGGCUCUGUCACGACGUUGCUGACUGGCUUCUGUCACAUUUUCAGGCAUCUUUUAGCUAGAGGUGCGCGUGUGACACCACAUGGACUGUGAGAAAUAGUCAAGUUCAGCCUAGUGACGCUUCUGGCAAAGCUUGUUUUCCUGAUUUUUAAAAAAGGAGUUGGGGGAGUGCCAUGCCUUUUGUCCUUCCUCCCUCCUCCUGCCUGGAACAUGGAUGUGAGACCAGGAAGUACAGCAGCCAUCUUGUGACCAUGAGGACUAAAGGCCUGCGCUGAGGAUGGUACAGUAAAAUGAAAGAAGCAGCCUGGAUGCCUGAUGAGCAGCUGUGCCAGCCCCAGGGUCAUGCAAAUCAGUGUCAAUCAUUGUGGUUCUGGUUUUCUCCUAUUUGUAGCCAAAUAAAUUCCUUACUGAUAUAGGCAGGGUCCUUGUUGGUUCCAAAAAAAAGUGGAUUCACAGAAAUAUAACUGAGAGAACCAUGAAUUUCUAAAGAAGUCCUAGAAAUAGAUCAGUCAGAGAAGUUGUCCAUUUCAGGCAGGGGUUUCUACUGUAAGUUGCUUGGAUGGAAAAUAAAUCAGUGUUAAGGAGGUGAGAAUGCCAUCACUUGAAUUGUAUGACUAUAUCUUAUUAAAUCUCAGAUGCCAUCAGUUGUAAGGUAUAGCAUUAUUUUACAUAUCACUAUGAGAGAAGAAAAUGCUCUCAAGACAUAUCACUGAUUGUAAGAUGCAUCCACCUUGAUUUCAGAGAUUUUAAAAUGUGAAAAAAGGGAGGGACAUCUUAGGAUCAGUGAAAUAUGGCACAUAUUUAUUUGCUUCCUUGAUUCCUGCCUGCUGUGCUCAUUAGACCAGAGACACUGUCUGCCAUGCUCUCUGCCAAGUCCUCCAUACCUAGAAUUGGGCCUGGCAUAGAGUGGGGUCUAUAAAUAUUGGUUAAUUAAUAAGUUAACUAAUAAGUUCUAGUCCUUGCUUUUCCAAUAACUUCCCAUGCUACCCUGGCUGGAGAAAGCAUUUCCCUUUCUCUGUACCUCAUUUCUCCAUAAUCUAGUUCAACUGACCCUCACCAGAACUGAAGAAACAAAAAGCCCCAAAUACAUGCAAAGCGGACCUACACUCUGCAUCACCAUGGUGACGCCUCCCAGGGUCCCAGAGGGCAGGGAGGCCUCAUCUUCCACCAUCCCUAGAAAUCUCUCUUUCCCCAGAGCCCAACUCCUUCUAAAGCUCUGUGGUUAACCCUUUCCAGGCAAGCCUUUUCCAACACUCUGUUAGGGUUACUAAAUGUGCUCCCUACAAAUGGACUAGGGCCAAGGAAUUAUGCAAGAUCCUUCAAGCAAAGAGAUGGUAUUUUGUAACUUCCCUGAGUUUCUCCAGGAAGAUGAAAUGCACAACAUAUUUUAGAAUAAUAUCAACCUACAUAUGUCAGAGAGGUAGUCUUGUCUGACCAAAGCCCUUGAGCUGGUGAGGGGCGGGGUUCCAGGUGCCCCUUCUGCUGCACUAGCAUUGUAUUCAGAAGUAAUAAAGAUGAUGGCUUUCAUGUAAUGAGUGACGAACCCUUUGCAUAUAUUCCUUCAUUGAGUCUUCAACAGAAACUUAUGGGGUAGGAAGUAUCUUUAUCCCCAUUUUACAAGUGGGGAAACUGAGGCAUAUAGCUGUUAAGUAGGUGGCAGAGCCUGGCCUCGAAGUCAGGUGGGGUAGCACCAGAGUUUAUGCUCUUAACCACUAUGCUCUA